rnacentral:lncRNA from 1 species
UUUACAACUAUCUAAUCCAGGGGUUAUAUCAGGCAUUUUGGAUCUUCCCAGGGAAACAACAAAAACUUUUCUAUUGAAUUCCAUUGUUUUAUCUAUGUUGUAAGGAUAUUUCACAAACCAUGCGUCCCAAGCACCAUCAGUCUUCACUUUGAGAGUUUUCUGAGAGUGUUCUCUUAGUUACAAGGAACAGCCCUAGGGUGGUGGUUGCCUGUCAACUAGUAAGAAAGAUGGGGACUGAAAAUGGUGGGAUGGCAUUUGCCAAGCAAAUUAAUUCAGAGCCAGUUCAUAUGCUUAGAGAUUGAUUCAUUCAAACGUAGUUUCUUUGUUCCCAACGCCUUAAAAUCUUGAUUCUACUAUGUCCCCUCUUUGGCAGAAUGAGGUAGAGAGCUGUGCAGUGAUUAGACAGGAACCCCGAAACCAAAGACUCUUAAAAGCUGAAGAGAAAUCAGACUUUGAAGAACUGUGGCGUCCAAGCAUGCUGAAGCUAUUGAAUCCUUCAAAGAAGCUUUGAAGCAGAAAGUUGACU